AGUGGCUGGGGUAAGACCCAGUCUUUUCAGAACUCUUCAAAGGUUUUAGAAUAAGGGGUGGGUAAGGACGGUGCCAGCCGCCGCGGUAAUACCGGCGCCUCAAGUGGUAGUCGCUUUUAUUGGGCCUAAAACGUCCGUAGCCGGUUUGGUACAUUCGUGGGUAAAUCAACUCGCUCAACGAGUUGAAUUCUGCGAGGACGGCCAGACUUGGGACCGGGAGAGGUGUGGGGUACUCUCAGGGUAGGGGUAAAAUCCUGUCAUCCUGAGAGGACCACCUGUUGCGAAGGCGCCACACUAGAACGGAUCCGACGGUCAGGGACGAAGCCUAGGGGCACGAACCGGAUUAGAUACCCGGGUAGUCCUAGGUGUAAACGCUGUGGACUUGAUGUUGGAGGAGCUCCGAGCUCUUUCAGUGUCGAAGCGAAGGUGAUAAGUCCACUGCCUGGGAAGUACGGUCGCAAGGCUGAAACUUAAAGGAAU
rnacentral:rRNA from 1 species